AUUGAACGCUGGCGGCAUGCCUUACACAUGCAAGUCGAACGGUAACAGGUCUUCGGAUGCUGACGAGUGGCGAACGGGUGAGUGAUACAUCGGAACGUGCCCGAUCGUGGGGGAUAACGGAGCGAAAGCUUUGCUAAUACCGCAUACGAUCUACGGAUGAAAGCAGGGGACCGCAAGGCCUUGCGCGGACGGAGCGACCGAUGGCAGAUUAGGUAGUUGGUGGGAUAAAAGCUUACCAAGCCGACGAUCUGUAGCUGGUCUGAGAGGACGACCAGCCAGACUGGGACUGAGACACGGCCCAGCCUCCGACGGGAGGGAGCGGUGGGGAAUUUUGGACAAUGGGCGCAAGCCUGAUCCAGCCAUGCCGCGUGCAGGAUGAAGGCCUUCGGGUUGUAAACUGCUUUUGUACGGAACGAAAAGACUCUGGUUAAUACCUGGGGUCCAUGACGGUACCGUAAGAAUAAGCACCGGCUAACUACGUGCCAGCAGCCGCGGUAA
rnacentral:rRNA from 1 species